rnacentral:rRNA from 1 species
GAUGAACGCUGGCGGCGUGCCUAAUACAUGCAAGUCGAGCGAACGGACGAGAAGCUUGCUUCUCUGAUGUUAGUGGCGGACGGGUGAGUAACACGUGGAUAACCUACCUAUAAGACUGGGAUAACUUCGGGAAACCGGAGCUAAUACCGGAUAAUAUUUUGAACCGCAUGGUUCAAAAGUGAAAGACGGUCUUGCUGUCACUUAUAGAUGGAUCCGCGCUGCAUUAGCUAGUUGGUAAGGUAACGGCUUACCAAGGCAACGAUGCAUAGCCUACCUGAGAGGGUGAUCGGCCACACUGGAACUGAGACACGGUCCAGACUCCUACGGGAGGCAGCAGUAGGGAAUCUUCCGCAAUGGGCGAAAGCCUGACGGAGCAACGCCGCGUGAGUGAUGAAGGUCUUCGGAUCGUAAAACUCUGUUAUUAGGGAAGAACAUAUGUGUAAGUAACUGUGCACAUCUUGACGGUACCUAAUCAGAAAGCCACGGCUAACUACGUG